GUACUCGUAAGAUCACCGAAGUUAAGCAACGUUGAGUCUGGUCAGUACAUAGAUGGGUGGUCGCCUGGGAAUACCAGAUGCUAUA